rnacentral:lncRNA from 1 species
GCGAUGUUUCGUUGUUGAGCCACAAGACGCCAGUGAGCAUGUAUGUGCCUGGUAACGCCUUGCAUAGCUGCUUCCAAAAGUAGCAGUCUUCUGUGCCCAUUCCUAUUGUGAUCAGCACCUUCUCGUUGAGCGAUUUAAUAUAUGGAAGCCCUGGACAAUGGCAUUAUCACAUGAGAAAAUUAUCCAUUGUUAAAGCAAAAUAGACCCAUUCAGGUAUUUCAUCGAACAUCUUUGGGGCCCUUGGGUUGCCUCAAAGGAAGCGGCUCAAAUCGGAUAAAAAUUUGCAUUGAAUCUUGGGAUAAAGGAAUCGUAUUUUUGUAAGCUCGCCUGCUUUGGCUUUGUGGAAUCUUCUUCGAACGAUUUCGAGGAGUGAAACUUAGAAUCAAUAACGACCUCGGUUCUACUGUAAUGGUUUGCUCCGAAGAAAAGCUGGUCUUGAUCAUAACGACAAAUGGCAGAGAGAGAGAAAGAGAGAGAGAGAGAGAGGUGGCUGAUGAUGGCGGCAAAGGCGGAUCCGAGGCAGAGCGAGAGGGGGGAGAGGAAGAAGAAGAAAGAAAAGAAAACACAAACAUGAAACAAAGAGGGAGAAAAAUAAAAAUAUAAAAAGUACUUGGAUGGACUUGAACAUGUCCUUAAAAGGCUCCUCCUGAAUUGGAUAUCCCGAGAUGACUUCUCCUCACAAGCCAUUUAAGACAAGUGAGGGGAAGUAGUACGGGAUAACAUCCCCAUGAGGCUCUCCGGCCACAACCCAACCAAAAGGAAGGGUUCGGAUCCCACCUUGACUCUCGCGAUGCCUUCUCCGAGGUUGCCCGAGCGUGGUACAAGGAAAUGAUAGGGUGUUCCCCUCCCAAAAGGGAAUAGGGAACACGUGGCCGGCCGGACAAGAAUACCAUUGGAUGUGGACAAGGUUUCGUUAGUUGGUGAAGCUAGAAAUACUUUAUUUGAGACUAAAUAUAUCAUUUCGGACUCUUAUUUAAUAUAAUGUUUACUACAGAUACUUUUUCAAUUAAAUAGUCACUUCAAGCUAUUAUUUAAAAAAUUUUAUUUUGAUGCAAAAUUUGACUUGAAAUCGAUGCUUUGAUAUUGAAUCGUGAAUAAACAAAAUUCAGUUUCAAAUCCCCAAAACUCAAGCUCAACUCAAUAUUAAGGUUCGAAAUUGAACUCGAUUCAACUUGAUUAUUAAAAAUUUGAUUCUACUCAUUUAACUUAUUACGUAGGGCGUCUCUUUCUUUUUGUCCUAAUCAUAUGUUGUACAAUCUGCAAAGCCCAGUCAUGCCAUUCGAUUGCUUUAUCUUUCAAUUCUAUCAAAAGUUUGGCGUUUGAUUGCUCGUGGUUGUCUAGUUUAGCAUUGUCUAGGUCCAAUAAUUUUUUGAGAAUUGUUUAUCUUUUAUAUUUUCCGUUUUUGGCGUCAUAAAGAAGUUUUGAUUUAUUGCAAGGAAGUGCAUGGUCCCGUGGGGGGCGACGAGGCUAAGCUAAGCCUAAUUACAUCAAUGAACAAUGGAAGUUACUAAAAAGGCAAUGUGGGGUUUCAUUCGGCACCAUCACUUGAAUUUUAUUUCCUUUACUAUACUUGGAGGAUCCCAUUCCACGGCUCCUUUUGCUCUUUCAAUUUCUACCUUUUGGCAAUAAAAAACCGUGGCCACACAACACCGUCACACUAGCCAGAUCCUACGAGAAACAACUGACGUUGUCUCAUCUAUUGAUCAUCGGACUUCCAAGAUUGUGUCACAACCGCACUUUCGUUCACUCAUGAAACACUUCUUAGAUGUCCUUCCUCCGCAACUCAUUUCGGACGGGGAUUAAUAGUUCCCCCAGUAUGGACUGGAGUACGAAGCCCACUCAAAAAUGCGAACAAAAUAGUCCAUUAUAUUUUGUGAGUGUCGCCAGGUGGCUUAGUCCCAAUGACUCCCCUACGAAUAUGAGACAAUAAUAGAGCAAAUCUGUCAAACGGUACUCCACCAAGAGCAGGUACUAUUUUAUCACAUAUGUGGAUUGAGUGGUUGAUUUACGACAUUUUGUAUAGAAGUUACGAAAAAAUGCAAACAGUUAUAACUCAUUAUGAUUCGAGAAUCUAUCAAUGAUCAUAGAACUGCUCAUGUACUCUGAGAAGAAAUUCGAUAAACCAUCCAACAUAAAAGUUAUUCAUUACAUCAAAUCUCCAACAUUAUACAGUAGAGUAAAUAAUUUAUCGCCUUGCAUCGUUCAAGUUUUGCACACAAACAUAAAUAGAAGCUUCCACAUUCAUAAGCAUAGAAUAAGAUAAGAAAAACUAUUGCAAUUUCUGUCUCAUUUUUAGCCUGAAUGCCCUGCAUUUUGCCCUAACGUAUACCUACAUCGAGGGCAAACCAAUGAGACAAUAAAUCGUGCUUCUCUAUACUUGCAUUCCGGACAAUAAACUGAGCUCGGGAUUGUUAUCGUGGAUGGAUCCUGCUUCUUCAGCGGCUCGGGUGGCUCGAGCGGCUCAGGUUGCGGCCUCUUGGGGGCUAGGACCAGGGUCAUUGUUUUCCAGAUUUUCUCCUCUCGCCUCCGAAUGUAGUAGAAAAAGAAACUGCAGAGCAUGACGAUGACAAUGACUACACCAAUAAUAACCCACAUCGGAGUUUUAUUGUCAUCGGACAAUACAUAAUUUGGAUUGAUCCAUGCCAACGGAGUAGGAGGAGGAAAGUAUUGGAAACUCGGAUAAGUUUGUGUAUAGGAUUUGUUCUCCAGCAAGAAAACUCUGUUGAGGUAGUUCAAUGCAAGCGGUGAGUUUACAAAAAUAUUCCAAAGCAUCAAUUCAAGAGGCAAUUUAACUUUUAAUCAUGAUGAAUUGAGAAGAUCAUAUGAUUCGAGCACGAGAUCGAGAUGAUUCAACAUGGAAUUUGGUGAGAUAUAAUAUGAGUGGAAGUAGUCGCUUGAACAUAUAUCUUUACAAGAAGAACCGAGUAAACAGUGAAUGAUGUUGUUGCUCCAAUACUUACGCGACCUACAAAGCGAGAACUUUCAUCAGGUGGCCUCGACGUUGUGAUAGCUCUCUGUAUAUGCCCUCCGCCAUAUGGGUGGGCUAGGUGCGUGUUUUAGUGGAUGCGUCACCAUUCGUCAUCGUGAGUAUGUAGAUGUAAUGAUUGAAGACAGCUGGACAGAGAGUUGGGAAAUUUCAUUCACGGCCCAAACAGUGAGAAAAUUAUAUAAAAAAAAAUCAUAAAUAAUAUUUAUAUCAAUUCAAUCCGAUUAAAAUUGACUGGCCAAUACUAACGUGGACGUUGUCCACCAUCGAUAUUAACAUAGAUAAUUUUUAAUAAUAUUUUUUUUCUAUUUUUUUUUAUCUUCUUCUUUACUUCAUUUUCUUUAUCUAGCCGGUCACUAGCGAUCACUGAAAAUGAAGUUAUAAAAAGAACCGAGAGACCUUGAGCUACUGUCCAAACUCGAUCACGUCUUCAUGUUCAAUGUUCGGGACCAAUGAUACAUGUUUGACGAUUCCCAAUCUAAGGGGAUAAGAUUUGGGUGGAGGGCUAAGAAAAACAAUUAGGUGUGAAAUGAGAAAUUAUUAUAUGCUCUAUAAAACAUGUGACUUAAUAUCAUCUCAAUCAUUGAUCAAGUAGAUCUAGCUAUGAGCCCACGUGAUCAAUUGUUGAAUUGGGUUUUGAUUCUGACCAAAAAAAAAGAACCAGGUUUUGACAUUCUUUUCGGGCAAAAUGGGAUUACAGACGUGACCUGACAACCAAAAUUCACGCUACUAUCCAAUAAUUCCAAAAAGACUUAUUCUAGAGCCGACCUGCUAGAGAUGAAAGAGACCCACGGCCGUUUCGUUUCUCUUUCGAGUGUUCUAAAAACGAUGGAAAAUGUUCUAAGAUCCUCUUGAACUUAAACUGUCUUGGACGGACUGAUCAAAACUACUAACUCAGUCCUCGUGUUGGUCUAAUCUUGUCUAUCCCUCUCUUAUGGUGACGCGACUCCUAUCCAAACAACACAAAAGGACAGCCUGUCGCCAACUAAUUAGAACAAUGGAAUUAAUGAAAACAGGAGGGACAAAAGUAAAACCACAGCACAGUGAGCUAGGGCCUCAAAUUCAUAGACAACGUGGGAAACACGACGUGAUUAGGACCGUCGGUCACGAUCGUUUCUGUUUAAAAUCUUAAUCCCUCCCGGUCUCAUUCGCCAUCACAUCGUUUUCCUUAUCCCAUCUUUUGGACUCUCGAGUUAGUCGCUGAACCUUGCGGGGCCACGAUGACUUUAGCGCCGUAAAAGAAAACCCUGCCAUCCAAAUUGAUAUAUUUUACCCAUUUUGAUGAAUGUCCAGAAAAUAUAAAUUUAAUAAUUCAUACUCAAUUCAAUCCAAUUCUUAUCUGAUUCAAUUCAUAUUUUUAAAACGCUUUUAUAUUAAGCCUAAUUUAAGAACUCAUACUAAAAUUGAAGUGAGAAUACGAAAUUGAGUGAGAACGAAAAAUUAAAAAGAGAGUUAUAUAAAUGGGGUAAGUUGUGAAAUCAUUUACCCCUAUAUUAUUUUGGGUUUAACCAUUCCAAACCCAUUUAUAACCUAUUUACAAAAUAACAAAUUCAUAUAAUAACUCAACUUAUAACAUAUGGGUUCAAAAAUAGACUUAUAAUUCAUUUUGAUAGGUCUACCAUCAAAUAAACAUGAUAUCUUCACAUUUAUGGAAAAUUGUCCCAAUUUUGUCACGGGAAACGAGAUUGCAUAUACAUGUAAGAAGGAAGAUUGGGAUAUUUCCCAAAAUCAAGUAUGUAAUCGAGAUCGCAUUGGUUGAGAAAAGAGCAAGAACAAUAAAUUGUCCGUUUAAUGCUACUUGAUUCAAAUGGGAUGCUGACCGCCUCUUGGGAAUGACAUACGUGAAACGCGAUAUGCAGAAUACACAAAAGACUAGCGACUAAUACUUACUAAUUAAGAUAUGGAAAACAUUGAAUGGAAAUAUUGUGUCAGAUUCCAAAGAAUUGAGGAUGUUCAGAUAAUACAUAAAGAAAAAGGCAUCUUUUGUGUCAAGAACUGCACUCCUUUCUCAAGAUAAAGUUGACAGCGUCCUCUACAGUAACCACGACCUGCAUAGGUAAACAUAAAAGAGUUCAAUUGAGAGCGAGCGAUUUUCGGAUGCACUUUUAACCUUGGAAAAUUUGGAGAGAAGACAAAUUCCCCAUAAAAGUGGCUUUCAAAUGGGCAUAUUUUGGAAAAACUAACAUUUUGCUAGGCUGAAGAAGGAAAAGGUUCAGACAUGUUUCAUCCAACGAAUUAGAAUUCACAGAUCACCCAGAGCACAGCAAAUCAACCUAUAUGAGUAAGGGAGGAUUGUCCACGCUGACAACUCAAAACCACGUGAGGCCAUGUUUGGUUCAUGGCCAUGGAAUCAUGAAAAGGAAUCCCAAUCUAAGCAAUCAAAUUCCUAGAUGUAGGGUUCAUUCUCUAUUGUUUAGUUUCAAUUUAUGAAUGAAGGGAGAAAUGUCCGAUGUGAAAUGCAAAGUGAGGUAAAAACAUGUCAGAAAUGGAAUGUGUAAAAUAUUUCUCCAAUCAACAAAUCCAAAGUGGAUAAUGAAAAACUAGGGAUAGAAACAGAAUGAAGAACCACACAGUAUCCCCCGACAAUUUCCCAAUUAUUGUCAUCUAAAAGGAUCAUACAGUUCACAUAAGCAUUUCACAAACACAUUAGAUAUAGCUCCUCAAAAUCUCGAGUCAAGCAUUUCACACAAAAUCUGCAGCAACGAAGGUAAAGCCAUUCCCAUGUAACUUCAAACUACUUCACAGCUGUUACCUCAAGCCAUUGUGAUAUUCUUAUUUUUAUUGUGUUUUGAGUCAAAGACCCAAUCACAAGAAUAAAUGGAGUGACAGCAACUCAGCCAAGUGUGUAAAUGGAACUUUAUGUCUGCACCCAAGCCAAUGUGAUCUUCGUGGUUGACAUCUCCAUAAACAGACCAAACAAGUUUCACAAUGGCGAGAGAAAUAAUUUCACCUAGUAGAGUAAUGUGAGGGCUAAGAGGCAGGCAAAACUCACAUGAAAGGAUUUGAAGAUGAUGAAUGGAGAAAGACAGAGAGAGAGUUCUAACUUUGUAGGAUUUGAAGAUGAUGAAGCUCAAGACUACUGAGUGGGUUGGGUUCCUGGAUGUUUUUGCUUUCUCGGAAUCCCAGUACCACCCCUACUUGAGCAAUCCAAUUCUACAUUUUUAGGAGUAUCUGUUAACUGGGCUCUUUGAUUCUAUGAUCAUAAAUCCAUCCAAAGAUGAGCUGCAAUGGGAUUCCAUUUCCCUUUUUUUACUCCAAAGAGAACCAAACAAGGCCUAAGUGAUAACACGAUGUACUUACUUCUGAAUGUUUUCAUGGUGGCAUCAAUGAUCUGCAGUCUCAACCAUGACUUUCCACUAGGAUCACAUAUUUAAAAUCUCUAAACCAAAGAAGUGAACAUGCUGGAAUGCAUGCGAUCUGCUUACUAAGGAACCUAUCAUCAACUCACACCAACGUACAUAUGAGGAGAAAUGUGAGAGACAGAGAGAAAUGUCUGAAUUUUGUUAAGAUUACAAAUACCUACCAAGUCCGCAGGGAACUCUGAAUGAUUAUCUUUUCCCUUGAAUACCCCAGUCCUUGUUAAUAUAGAAAACCAAGGAUCUCCUGCCUGAAGGAGUUGUUAUCGGCACUAGUGAUUAUGUUUGGAAAUAAAAUUACUGAUAUGAUAAAAUACAAUUCUCAGUAUGAAAUAUACCUGUCGUGUGCCUCUAAUGUUGAUUUUUGGAUUAUCUCCUAUCAUGUAUAGGCUUUUGAAACAAUGAAUUCCAGAGUUUAUUGUAUUCUCCACAUCUAGGUUGCUUAACAAAGAUGGCAUGAGAUUCCUUAACACGGUCUCAGCAUUUGCAUAGACAAAUGGAUUUGGCUUCCCAUAUGAUGUAUAUGCCAGCAGAAUGGGAUGUGUUCUGCAGAACAGGGACAAGUAAACAAUGUGCAACAUAAGAUCGAAGAUUAAUGCAUGUCACUAUGCUGCACUGAGGCAAAUUAGGCCUACACAAGGAUCUUAUAGGCCAUUCUUUAAUUUUUUUUGUGGGAGAUUAUUAGAUCAAACUCCAUGCAGAAACUAUACAUUGAGAAGUGAAACCUCAUUAGUACUUGUUAUAGAUUGCUUCUAACACAAUCCUGAAAGCUCCCAUACCUAGACGUUCAGCAGGAAAAGUAGCCUGCCUUUACACUUUGUCAGCUAGGCAUCAGCCAGCUUUAGUUCCACUAAGGUUUCAAAAACUCAAGAUCGCAGCUCGCAUCACAAAUGCCAUAGCUUACCUGGUAUUCUAGGUCAUCAUUUGCAAAAAAACACGUGCGGUUGCUUUGCAGUCUCCCUUCCAGGAAGCCCUCCAGUUCUCAAUAUGUCACAGAGCACCUAAACCCAAACUUGAGUAUCACCGAAUUAGUUUAACGUACACAGACAAAUAGAUAGAUGAUAACACUCCAUUUUAUCACUUCUUUCAAACUUUAUUUCAGCGCCCACCAGACUUCUAAAAAGAUGAUGACUAAAGUUGCAGAGUAUUUACUGAACAAAAAAACAAAGCCUAGUGUCUUUUGAUAAUCAGUUCAAAGAUUUAGAAAUUACGUGACUAAAAUCCCAGUAUGGACUCAAAAGCUGAAUCAUAUAAUCUAAGAAAGGACAAGACCCAUUAGAGUGGUCACAACCUGAAUAUCUCUGCUCCAGUCAACAGAAUCACUGACUACAAAUGCUGCCUGAACUCUCUGUGUUUGCACAGCAAUUUUUCUCUUCGCCAUCUCAUUAGAACUGCUAUUCUGGUCAAUGUCUGCCUUUGUUGUCCAUCUCUUGUAUGGUGCCAGUGGAUCAAUGGCAUCAAAGUAGCUAGUGUAUUCAUCAACUGACAGAACAUUUCUGCGUAGAAAAGAUAUAAGCAGAAAGAGGGUCAACCGGAGAGGAAAAAAAGGAGAAUCAAGUUGUCGGAGUUCUUGUUCCAGGAGUAUUGAACACAGACAACUAAGAUGAUUUAUGGAGAGGACUCCUCUCCGAUUACUCAAGUCCCUGAGAACUUGAGUGCUUUCUAUUAACUUUGCUUGCUCCUACGUAUUACCUAGAUUAAAGUAAUAUCUGUCGAUAUCAGUUUUAUUAAAUACAUAUCUUUAUCCCUAUUGCCUCUCUCUCUUCCCCUCCCACCACCCACACACCUGCAUGCAUGAGCAAGUAAUUGAGACAUUGCUGGGUACAUUUGCAAACCUAGAGAAGUGGUCAAAAUAUUUACUUGUAUCCAUAUUCGGACAUCACAGCAGCAGGCUCUCCUUUGCCAACAGCAACGACAAGUUCAUUCUCAAAUCUGUGCAAAAAACUCAAUAAGGAAACAGAUGAAUAAAAUAGAGAAGCAUAUUCUUGAGUAAAAUAGAAAAGCCUACACAGAAUUCUUUUAGAAUAGCUAGUACAUGCAUUGGCACUCUUCUCAGUCUUUUCAACUCAUAUAAUAUAAUAUAGGUAGUGCAUUCCCCAAGUUUCCAAGAGCAAAGCACAGGAGAAUUCUUAUCAAGCUAAUAAUACACAUGCACUAUAUUUUAUUUCGCAAUUUUCAUAAUCAUGAGCGAGAUAGAUGAAAAAAAAGCAAAUGUUAUGGAAAAUGCUCAGUUCUGAUUUACAUUAGCAUGGCGCAUUUCUCGUUGGACAUUGGUCAUGGAGAGAAUCCAACAAAUCCAUACCUAUUUACCAGUUGUUUAAAAGGUGUGUGGCCCUGUAUGACCUGCAAAUUAUCUUGGUCAAAAUAUGAGAGAAAAACGAAACAAAGUAGUUCUGGACCUGAUAACAAGCAAAAUCGUGAGGGCAAGCAGAUUUGUAACACAAGAAACAAACUACCUGUGAAAGUAAAAUGUUGACUCUUAGUAGUUGACCUAAGUCCUGGGCUCUUUUGGAUUCAGAAAAGCCACCUCCUGCAUCAGCCAUUGCUAUUAGCAUCGUGCAGUAAAAACUAAUUAUCGCUUCUUCAAGAAUUAACAAGCGAAAUUUCUAAUUUCAAGGGACUAACAUAUUGAGCGAUUAUAGGUAAGGGCAUCUCAAAAGGCGUCACAGAUUCAAAUUGCUUGAAUGACUUAAACAUAAGACAGCGGCAAUCUCAAAAUCAUCAAGACGAUUACUAUUAGAUCUUAAAAGUACCAAUACUUGCUCAUAAGUGAAUAAUCAACCACAAUAAGCGUAUGAUGUCCAGCAUGCAACUUGAAAACUUUAGUUUGACCAUCAUAUCACGGCACUCACCGGUGAUGACUCUAUAGAAUGGUCACAUUCGCUAACACACAUCGAAAGUGAGAAAUGUAAUAGUAAAGGUUACUAACACAUUUAAGCAAUCACGAACACUCACCAUUUGUUAAGAACACGAAAGGUAUCUUCAAAUUUCCUGAAAAGAUGUAGAACAUAAAGUAAGUGACAGCAGGUUACAAAUAGCAGAUAUCGAGAUUCAGAUACGAAUCUCGAUAUCCGCCGCCCUUUACAGUCCAUCAGAAAUUUCGGUAGCAAUCAGUUCGCAACGUAGAACAUUGGAAGACAGGUGAAACGGCACGAUCGCCAGCAUGAGAUAAGCCUCGCAGGUAUAUCAGCAAGCGAUGGCGAAAGCUUUACCAGAAUCGUCGUACAAUCUCCUGAGCGCGCGCGGAGAACCGCCGAUGGGAGUGUGACCGAGGAGGACCACGCCGUCGAUGUCGAAGGCGAUGCCGAACGAAGGCCUGCACAACGAAACCACGAUCGUCGAUUCGAUCACGGACGAAAAAGAAGAAGAAGAAGAAGAGAAAAAGAGAACAUCGGAGAAAAUCACAAGCGUAGUCGAAGCAUGACCGGAACGCACCGAUCCGAUUGCGAGCGAAGCCGCGAAAAUGAGCGCGAGGCGAGCGGGGACGGCUGCUUUCUGCCGCGACUCCGCGAGGCGAUGGUGAAAAGCCGGUGCCUCAUUUUCCUGUUCGCGGCGAAUCGCUUCGGGAGAUCGAGGAGCUCGAAUCGCCGGAGAUGAAGCUCCAAGAAGAACGGAGCGAGCUUCAACAGUCCAUAGAGAAAGAGAGAGAGAAUGGCCCAAUCGCGCAGCGUCUUCUCGUUCAAUGUUCAGGAGCCGUGAAUUGGGCACCGUUGAAAUGAUGGGCGGGCCUCGAUAACGGAUCGGCCUUUCCUUCGGAUCCGAGCUCAACGGUUAAGCUUGAUUUUGGUGAACGUUUUUGGGCUGUUUUCUUUAGUUCUUUCACUUUUGGUGUAUUUUUCUCUUCAGGCCUACUAAUUCAGGCUCCUUGUCUCGAAACCUCUCGAGAGAGAAUCGCUAACUGCGUCUUUGGUGCACCUGAUGCUAGGGGUGAGUGGUUUCAGGUUCCGGUUCAGUUUUGUUUAGAACCUGGAACUUACCAUCGGGUAUCUACGCGUUAGAACCGAGAACCUAAAACCUACCCUGUCACAGAUUCCAGGGUCGGUUCUAGGUUCCAACAGGUUUUUUUUUGUUUUUUUUUUUGUCAUUUUCAGAUUUGUACACGCAUACUUUAUAGCAACUUUCCACAUCUUAGCAAACAUACUAAUGCCAACUGCCAAUAAUUUUGACAUACAUUGUUAUCCUUCUCCUAUAUUACCUCUGCAAUUAAGGACUAAUAAUCCAGAAGAGCCACCCAAAACAAAGAAGUUAAGCAUCUAGAUUGCCAAAAUUCAAAAACACCAACUUCCCCAAAACAAAGAAUUGAUUAGAGCAGUUUCAUUGAGCAAGUAGUCAUAGACCACAGCUUGCAUUUCUUUUCUUGUUCCAUUAGAUUGUGAAGGCAGUGACAACUUUGCUUUAUGCAUUCAUCUAAAUAACCGACAAUCAAUCCAUUCUUUAAAAGUUUGCAAUACAGGGUAAAACUCAAAACAAUGACAGAAGACAAGAUCAAAUCAAUCUAUACAGAAAGCCCAUAUAGCGAACAUUUCUUUCAAUCUUUUAUGAACAUUUUCAGUUGAAAACAAGAUUUCGUCUGCAACCAGGAAACUCCGUCAGCUUAAAAGGGCUCUGUCAACAGAAAGAGCUCUGUGACCAAGUGAUGUCGCUUCUUAAAAGCCAACACCAGAUGCAAAUUGCAAAGGGAGGCACAGUGAUCGACCCGUUUCAUUCUAAUGAUCCCAUUCCUACAUUGUACACCAUUCACCCCACUUCCAAAAGCAGCCAGACUCGAAUUAGUAUGGCCACGAAUCAAGAUCAAUCAAAGAUCUAACCUCCUCGAUGGAAGAUUUCUUGUUCUUCCAUUAGCCAGUUGGGACAAUUAAUGAUUCUUCUAUGGAUAUCAGCCCAAGAAAAAAAAUUUGGAAUGUAAAGAAAAUGCAACCACACAAUUUCAUCGAAAACAAUGAAAAUGGCAAUUGGGAUAUUGAAAAGGAAAAAACCAAAGUAGGGACAGGCAAGAGAAAGAUCAAAGAAAUGAACUAGGUCAGCAUUGAAAGAUCUAUUAACAUGUUAUCAACAAGUCAAACUAGUCCCAAUCUACUAUCAUCGGAGCGCCAAACCAACCCUGAUCAAUCAAAGUACUUACAUCAAACCCAACCCAAUCACCGAUCGGCGGCCACCACUUUAGAUCUCCCUCAACUUUACCUCGAAUCACAGCAGGAACGAUGGCUUCUGGCGUCUGGUUGCAGCAGCGGUGGAGUAGAGGAGGACCUAACAGCAGGGGCGUUAGGGCUUCUGGUGCGAGCAGAGGCGGUGGGUCACGAGCGGAGACGAGCUCGGCUCAGAUCUACCUGCGUUAGGUAGUCGCGGCGGGCAAGAGUCAGAGUGGCGUCGGUGACAGGCAGAGGUAGAGCACGGUAGCGACGGGCGUCGAGCGGCGAGGGUUUGUGCCAGCGACGUCGGCAACUGGCGUCCAGCGGCGUCCGACGGCGGUGGCCUUGAGGGCGAGCGGUGUCCGGCGGCGAGACUCGGAGCGGCGUCCGGCGAGACUUUGAAAUUCUGAAUACUGAAAGUGAAAGGGACUCAGGAGCGCCGAGCGGGGGAGGGGGCUCCUUUUAGAACCCUAACCGGUUCUGAAACUGGUGCCGCGACCAGUUCCGAAACCAGAACCGGAAUGGCCAGUUCCAGGAAAAAUGGAACUCAGAAUCGGAACUGGUCCUUUAAGAACCGGGAACUGCGCUCACCCCUACCUGGUGCAUGUACACCUUGGAAUUCUCAAUUGGCUAGUCGUAAAUGGCCCCAGCUUAGGACUAUGAAACCAAUGGUUAUCCCAAACCUACACCGAGAUGUAGGCGGUGAUUCUCAUAUAUUGAAAAAUAGGAUGUGAUACGAUGAAAUAUGAUGCAAUGGAGAUAGACACUGAAAAUGAAUGGAUUGUUUUUUUUUUUUUUCUUGUAGCAAAGUUUGGAUUAGUUGCGCAAAUACUUGUACGAUAUGAGACACCUGAUUAUAGAACAAAGUCACUUUGGCUUUUCCCUUUUUAUGCUUUGCCCUCUGACUAAUUUAAAGAUGUUGCCAAAAGUCAUGUAAAAAUGUGAAGUUCUGCUCUUUUCAUGGCUAUAUUUGAUGUGAAGAACUAACGAAUCGAGCACCUAUGACACCGCUGUUCUAGUGUGUCUUUUUUUUUUUUAAUGAAAAAAUUACAGCAUGUGUUUGACGACUCAAAGUCUAAGGGGAUAAACUUCUGGUGGAGGACCGAGAAAAACAAUCGGGUGAAGAAAUUAUUGCACACUUCACAAACUAUACAAAUCAAUAUCAUCUCAUUCAUUAAUCAAAUAGAUCUCAUUAUGAGUUUGGAUGUGUGAAUUAUUGAACAAAAUUUCGAUGUGUAACUUAUAGUCCAUAUGAUAACUUUUCAUAUGAAGUGGAGUUACAGCCUUGAUCGGGCAACGGAAAUUCACACUAUCGUCCACAAUCAAGUCCACAAAAAUUUAUUUCAGAGUCGACCCAGCUAAGGUAAAAGAGAUCCGUAGCCAAUUCAUUUCUCUUUUUGAGUAUUGUAAAAUGUCGGAAAAAUAACUUUAAAGUAAUCGUCUGUCUUGGAUGCGCAAAUAAAAAAAACUACUUGUCUUAAUCCUUGUGCGGGUCUAUCUUUAUCUAUAUCUCUUUUAUGGUCCCAUGACUCGUGUCUGAAAAACGUAAAAAACAGCAUGUCCCUAACUAAUCAGGAUGAUGAAACCAAGAAGUAGAAUCGCACCCGUAAUGUCGAAAACCAAGUUUUGCGAACAAAUUCUGAUAAAAACAUUUUCCUUAUUUUUCAACAUGUGGAUCAUUUAAGAAAAUGAGUCAACGGAAGACAUUUUCAUGGUCAAUAAAAAAUCUAUGCUUGAAUUCAAAAAAUAAUAAAUUUCUUUUUAUAAAAUCGAAAAUCAUUUUUCACAAUAUAACUAUACCAAUAUUUGGACUAGAAACCAUGAGUUUAAGUAUGCAAAGCCUAACGCUCAUUCUUAGGUCCCUAAUAUCCAGAAUCAAGUCUUCAGCACCUAGUUUGGGACCCCGAUGUUGGUGCCUAGGUCUCCAACACCAAUGCAUGAGUCCAUCGAAACCAGGGCUAGGACAUUAGCGCGCAUGCUCGAAUACUUCAACGGGGCCUCAUGCUUGUAUUUGAGGUACCGCACUUGACCUCACGUACCCAAGCACUGUGUUCUUGAUUUUGGCUUCUAUGGAUGCAAGAUCAAUGCCAAUGCUCUUCCUCAGGUCGAGUCCAUUAAGACUUGACUCAGGAUUCUAGUACUUGUGCUUAGUCUUCAACUCUUGUGCAAAUUACUAACACCCGAAUAGUAUGUAUCUCUAAAAAUAUUAGAUCAAAUUUUCCUUUCAAAAUGGUGAAAUAUAUUUUUCAAUUCUUAUUUAGGUCUUAAUUAAAUAUCAUUGUUAUUUUCUAGGAAAUGACAUCGUGGACACUAUUUUUUCAAAAAUGUAUUAUUUUUUACGACAUAAACUAUGUCUAGAGCUUGAGACGAGAAAUGAAUUUUCUAGAUGUAGAUAUAAAGAAAAGAUUUGGAUUUGACGUCUUGCUGAAGGGGGUGAACUUAUUACACUCGUGGUCUUGAUUUUUCGCAAUUGCUCAUCAUCUUUUCCUAAUAUGUACACUUGAAAGGUUCCAAUUCUUCGAGAGUCAUAUAAAUCAUCUUUUUUAUCUAUAUAACUAUUAUGGAAUUACUUUUCAGUUCAAUCAACAUUGUUUUGUUAUACUAAUUAAUAAGUCCAAAAAGGUAUUUUGCUUUUUCUAUUCCAUAUUUUGCUGCAUUGAGAGUUGAUUGCACUAUAAUUGACACGUGGUGUCUAUUAUUAUCAUUAUUAGUUCCCGGCCUCACCAACUGUUGGAAGGUGGCGAUUGAUUUUCAUUUUUCCUUUUUUUCUUUAUGGUCAACGCUGGCGAUCGAUUUCGCACUGCACGUUGGAUAUUCCAACACGCGUUGUCUGCCGUUUCUGUGCUUCCGUCGGAUCGACCAUGGGCCGGGCCGGGCCGGGUUCACGGGCCGAAAGGAGGCCUUGGGCUCCCCCAAGAAUGCUGACCCACGCGGUCGUUGACUUUGUUUUUCUUGUUUCUCUUUUUUAUUCCGUCUAACAGCAUAUGAUAAAGAUUUCCGUAAAAUAGAAUACUAGUAUUAGGCAGGUACGGGUAGUUGGUUUGCUGAGCUGGGUCUACAGGGACUCGCUCGUCCAGGCUCAUUUCACUUUGAUACAAGUAUUCCCACCAUGGCGUGUUUUAUAUGUCGCAUAACCUAAGACGUCUCCAUGUGGCCAGGAGCUACUACGCAUUAGGAAGGGGACACCGGCUAAUAUCCUAAUCACGUGAGUUAUCGACCAGUGACCGAACUUUUUUAUUGGGUUAAAAAAAUUUCUUCAUUUAUUAUAAUCAAACACGAGAGAAACAUAGAAAGCUUCCAAGCAAAAUAAAUCCUUAAAGGGCUGCAAAACUAAACGAAAUCCUCAAAAAACAAAAAAAGUAGGGCUUGUAAUUCUAAGCAUGCUCUCUUCUCAAAAGAUCAAAUCUAUUAUAGAAUCCAAAAAUAAUUGACGGCCGAUCACUGAAAUCAUCAGUGAUGGGUAUAUGCUGAAAUCUUUUCUUCCAAAAAUAAUGGCCUGUACUAUGCACCUAGAUUCGACAUUCUCAAUACUAUCAUCAUAUGGAAACAACAAUGAUAACGCACAACAAAUUGAAUUCUUUUAAAAAACUCCAAGAACUAGAUUUAGACUAAAAGAGAAAUGCUUUCAAAUUUAGAUCUAUGCCUAAAUAAAGAGAGGAAAGUUUUCACCGAAUCUUGGAAAAGUCAUAGAACCACGUCUUGCACAUCUUGCUGGCUNNNNNNNNNNNNNNNNNNNNNNNNNNNNNNNNNNNNNNNNNNNNNNNNNNNNNNNNNNNNNNNNNNNNNNNNNNNNNNNNNNNNNNNNNNNNNNNNNNNNNNNNNNNNNNNNNNNNNNNNNNNNNNNNNNGAAGGUUUUACUCCAACAAACAUUGGCUAGUUCUAUGGACGUGUCGGAUUAUUACUAAUGUUAAAAGGAAGGGAAGUUCGAUGUGGGAGCAAGAACGAUAUUUUUCGAGUGUACGACCAUGACAUGUUUACUAGGAGAAAUCUUUACUGAAGUAACAUAAAAAGAAGCCCCCUUAAUCCUCCUCAUGACCAAAAGAAAAAAGUAAGAAUCCUCCUUUAAUCUCAGUGAUUUAAGAAUUCUCCUCUAAUCUCAAUGAUUUGGAAGAUUGACUGUUGCUAGACUUAGAACUAGGGAGGACCAAGUCAGUUAUAUGCAGGUAUGUCUUCUCACAGUAAGCGAACAACUUAGUUCAAGCCUUUUAGGGACAGCCUUUUAGCAAAAAACCACUAUGCCAUUUAGUUCAGAGCCUAGAAACACCCAGAUGGAACCAGAAUGGAAAUAUUUCUAACUAUUCGAGUUGCAUUUCUCAGAGGAUCUUACCAAGCUGGAGAAGAAGAGGGAGUUUAGAAAACCAUGAGAAUUUAACAAAACACUCACUUUAUUUCAGGGACUUUGCCCAACACAAUACAUCCUCCCCGCUUUUUAUAGACAAUAAGAUGUUACAAACAAACAAGGACCAAGCUCAUGGGUCCGGGAACAAACACAGGCUUCCGAAAAUCUCGGUAGGGAAUUAUUCGCACGGUAUGAACAACGAAAAUGAACAGUGACUUCUCUAGCCUAUUGCUAUAGUAAACUUGUACAAAUAGUGAUCUUGUUCAGUGGUCUCGUCCGUCACGAGUAUUAUAGUCAUAGUCUGAGUCAUCUGAGCUGUGGACUGUUGCCAAAAUAUGUUCAUCAUAUUUUUGUUCAAGAGCUUCAAAGUCUUCUGAUGUGAGGAUCUGGUUCAACUGGUGUGUUGUCGAUGCUGAUGCUUUCUCAUGAGCCCAGUGAGAUGCUUCUUCCUGGGCCUAGUUUGUAUUGUCAUCAUUUGUAGUGUCAAGAGGAAUGCUUGGCUGUGGCCAAUUUGAUGGCUGUGCAUAAAAAGAUGUAUCCAUGUUCUUCGAUGAUAAGGACAAGGAUUCUUGGCUGUAAGGGUCUUGGGAAAGAGGACCUCCCCAUCUAGCAUAGGGGUCUUGAGAGGUUUGUGCAUGUUCCUCUGAUGAUGCAGCUUGUCUGAAUUCUUCCAGUGCUUCCUUAGCAUAUGAUGCUAGGUCAUAAUGAUCCCAUGCAGUGGGUACAUUAUAAUUCCAUGCAUCUAGUGGAAUGGUUUUAUUUUCCUGGCAUAGGAUUCUCUGGAGUUCUUGAUACUGGUGUUCGCAGUAACCAAUAGAUCCUGGAUAAGAUUUGUAAACUCGAGCCUCUACACUAUGUGGAACAGGUCUAUAAGAUGAGGUUCCUGUACUCAGGGGAGCUUUAAUGAUGUUACCAUUGUUAGUGAGAAAAGCUCAUGGUCUUUGGAAAAACAGGAUGGCGUGGAUUUUAGGGUUUGAUUGUGUAGUUCUCAAUUCUUUCUCCAAGAGCCAUUUCCAGUGAGUUGGAGGAUAAAAUCAAUUAAGAAAAUCUAAAAGAUUUUUGUCACUUUCAUUUUCAAUCUUACCUCUGCCGAGUUUGAAUAUCCUGGUGAGGUUGACAAUGAAUCUUCUGGUUGGAAUUUCAAUAGCUAUUAAGUGCUUAUUGAUUAAGUACCAUAAUAACCAUCGAAAUUGAUUAGGAAAAUCAUCUUCUUUCCAAAUCAAAGGAUGUAUGAAUGGAUAAUUUGCAUUUAGUCCAAAGGUAAAGAAUUGAACCUCCAUUGAGUUUGAACAAGUUUCCGUGGCAUUGCCACAUGAGUUUAUCCAGAUUUUCAGCAAGACUGUCCUUCUAGAUUUGUUCUAUGAUCUCUGGGGGGUAUCGCCAGCUUGGCUAGUCUUUUACUUUCUCAAUUUUGCACUUUUCAUUGUAAUGAGUAGUAUGAAAGACACGCCUCAUGAUAUACAUGUUGAUUUCUGCUGGGGCUUUUGGUCUUGACAAAAAGUCAGCAACCACAUUUUUCUUUCCAGUAAUGUGUUUGGUUUCAAAAGAAUAUUUUGAAAACCAUUCAGCUCAUCAAAGUAGUUGAGAAUUUGGAAUCUGCUUCUGUUUGAAUUUGGUUAUCUGAGGGAAAGAUGCCAUAUCCAAUUCUACUAAGAAGUGAAAACCAAUGAGAUGAAAUUCACACUUUUUUAUAUCAUUUUUUACUGCCAAGAGAUGAAAUUCAAACUUUUGUAUACAUUGAUUGGAGACACAUUCCCUUUCUUACACCUGCAACAUAUAUGUUACUUUAAGAGAUGGGCUUCAUUUUGUGAGCAUAAUUCAACAUGGAAUUCCACUUUAACCCCAACUUAAGAAAAUAAUUUCUGAAUCAAUUUAGUAAUUUAGACUUUUUUUGUUUCUCAAAAAAUAAAUAAUUUGAUAAAUAUUUUCCUAAAAAUAAUUGUUUAUAUCACUCGAAAUAAUUAUUUAAUAAGAAAUAUUUUUAUUAUUCAUAAUAACUUAUGUCUAGAUAUUUUUCGUGGAAGGUAAACAAAUUUUUAGUUCGUUUAUUUGUAUAAGCAAUAUAAAUAAUUAUUUUUAUGAAAUGUAUUUUAAAUCAUUAUCUUAAUCAAAGAUACACUCCCUUUACAUUUGUGCUAUAGUUGCAUCUUCACUCUCGAUUGUAUUAAUUAAUCAUCUGAGCCAAAAGUAAAGCAAAAUAUCUUUGUGCUCUAAAUAGGCAAUUAUAUUCUAAACAACUUUCAUCAGCCAACAUUUAGUUUUUCUCAUGGACCAAUGGCAUAUGUUUUUAUGGUCAUCGUAGUAAAAAAUUAGAUUGGAAAUUAGAACUCCUUUUGAAUAGAGGAGAUUAUGUAAAGCCAAAAGAAGCAACAUGGAUGGACCACUUUUCUUAGCCAUCGCAUCAACAAACAAACGGAGAAAAUGAUGGAGAUGCAAUCCUAUUUUGAUGACAACUUAGCAGUGUACUAUUGACGGCCAAUGGAAGCAUGUGAUCAUCAUCUUUUACUGAGACAAUGAAUGAUUAGAUAGCAUGUUGAUGACAUGGAAGUGACAAGCGGGACCUCCACUAGUGCACCUUUGAAUGGAGGAGAUUAUGUAAAGCCAAAAAGAAGCAAUAUGUACGGACCAUUUUUCUUAGCCAUCGCAUCAACAAAAAAACAGAUAAAAUUAUGGAGAUGCAAUCCUAUUUUGAUGAAAGCUUAGCAGUGGGCCAAUGAAAGCAUGUGGUCAUCGUCUUUUACUGAGAUAAUGAAUGAUUAGAUAGCCUCAUUGAUGACAUGGAAGUGACAAGCGAUACUUCCACUAGUGCACCUUUUGAGGAGGAGAUUAGGUAAAGCCAAUAGAAGCAACAUGUACGGACCAUUUUUCUUAGCCAUCGCAUCAACAAACAAAUGGAUAAAAUUAUGGAGAUGCAAUCCUAUUUUGAUGACAGCUUAGCAAUGUACUAUUGCCGGCCAACAGAAGCAUGUGAUCAUCGUCUUUUACUAAGACAAUGAAUGAUUAGACAGCCUCAUUGAUGACAUGAAAGCGACAAGCGAUCCUUCCGCUAGUGCAUCUACUUUCGGACAAGGAUGGAUUCCCAUUAUAUUAUUUCAUGCCUUGGCCUACAAUUAGGCGCAAGGGAGAGCAUUAAAUUCCACAAAUAAGCCUAUUGACAUUUCUCUAUCGGGUGCUUAAAUCAAAAGAAAAACAGCGUCAUCUUAUCAUGUCAUGCUGUCAUCAUUACACUUAAGUAGUCGAAAAUAAUUGAAACACCACGAUAGAUGAUUUCAAUGAGAUUUAGCUAAAAUGUUUUAUUGCAUUUUCCCUUGUAAGUUUAAGACUACGUUAUUUCAGUUAAAAAGUUUAUACCUUGAUAGGUUUGAAAUUUCGGUAUAACAAUUUUAGGAGAGAUUGUGCAAUUAUCUCAGAAAUAUGACAAUUCGGUUUUCUCAAUCUCGUGCUCGCACUCAACUCAAUACAAUAUAUAUACUCGCAUCAGACUUGAUCCAACUCUAAUAUUAAAAACUAAAGUGUAAAGCUUCGAACUCCAUCUCAAGUUCUCAUAAAAAAUUUCAAAAGUAAUGAUUUUUUUUUCUUUGUCCCUAGUAAAAUUCUUUAAAUUAUUAACAAGGCUCGCAAGUCACAUUACUGUAGUAUUACAAAAUUUGACACCUUCGACAUGUCCAAUCCAUAUUGUUAGGUCCAAAUACAUAAAAGAAGGGGUGAAGUGUUCUUUUUAUACAUAUAAAAACAUUUAUCUUUCUAGAACCAGCACCUUAUUUAAUUUUUUUAUGCAAUUAAACUGUUAAUUUGCAAUAAGAAACUUAUAGAGUUUAGGGAAAAAGAAAUUACACAAGCUAUUUAUAGAGUUUCAAUUAGGACAUGCUUUCUCUUCUAGCUCAAGCAGCCCCAUUAGAUUAAAAUUCACUACUUCAGCCAAUAGUGCAAUUGCCAAGAGCUUUGUAUUUCGCAGACUCGACUCCUCCUACGGCUAUCUUACUAUAGAUUAAAUAAUUAUUAGAUCUCUUUCAAUAGCCGUUCUCACACCUUUUGCACACAACACUGUAGACAUAUUCUCCCCCAAAAUUAUUUAACCACACUUCUAAGUGUUUACAAAUAAUCAUUCGCAUAUUUCGUCUCUUACCUAAACAAUUGCAUUCUCUUUAAGCACGACCACUUCUUCCGUGUGUAUACAAAUGAUUUCGGCACCCUUGCUAACUUUUAGGAUCAAAACUAAAUAGGUUAUAAUGAAGCAGCAAGGAGAUAGAUCUCAAGAACACUCAAUGUGUUUCGAUUUUUCUUGUUGCAAGCAUUCGAUCACAAGUUAUGUUUUACUCGUAGUUUGUCCUUAUAGGCCUCCAAAAACAACCCUCCUGUUUCAACCAUUCGAUUCAAGUUGAUCACAGAAUAAGUUUCAUUUCAUCACACAGAAAAGAGACAUUUGGAGGGGAUACUUAGAGAUCAUCAACAAUGAAAAAAUCAAAAUGAUAAGGAGAGUCAGCAGAUUUAGUCAUAAACUUUUUUUUGGCCAAUUUAGUCCUAAACCUUUUGUUUUUGUUCCAGUUCAGUCCAUCCGGCCAUGCAUAGUCGGAAAAAUCUGAUGUGGCAUUCUAGUCAACGCCAGUCGGCGUUGCCGACGCUGACAUGGCACCGGAGAGCAAAACGUCGUCGUUUUGCUUUAAAAAAAAAAGCCAAAGAGAAAAGGCAGAAGAGAAAAGGGCGUGAAGAGAAAAGGGCGUGGGGUUGGCUGGGUUCUUUCCCAAAAUCAAGUAGGGAACCCUAAAUUGAGAGGAUCUUCCCUUGAUUCAUGGUGCUUGACAUUGAUUCUUGGUGGAUGCCUCCAUUCAACACCUCCGUCGAAACCCUUUGGCCUCUGCUCGCCCAACGCCUCUGCUCGAUGCCUCCGUCCAACCCCUCCAGCCAAUGCUCGCCCAAUGCCUCUGUUCGAAGCCUCCAUCCAAUCCUUCUGGCCGACGCUCGCUUGACGUCUCCAUCCGACGUGUGCGUCAGUCCGACGCCUCCGUCCGACACUCGACUCACCCAACAUCUUCAUCUGAUGCUCGCCCGACGCCUACAUUCGACGCUUGCUUAGAUUCGCCUGCUUGCUUGAUGCUCACUGAACGCCUUGAUUGUCUUCUUGAAAUUGCGGUGUUCUAUAUUUAUGUUGUCUUGAUUUCACUUGAAUUUUAUUUUAAAUUUUAUUGACAUGGGUUUGUCGCAAUAAUGGGUUUGUGGUUGUUGAACUGGAUGGCUGGGCAAAUUGCUGACAUGAGUUUGUGGAUGGUCUCACGUAGAAUGUCUCUAUCUCGCCUAGAAUUUUUGGUAUUGUUGCUGCUUUUGGCUCAUUUGGGAAGAAUAUAUUGCUUUGAGUUGCUACUUUUGGCUCAUUUGGGAAGACUAUAUUACUUUUGAGUUGUUGCCUUUGGUUUAGAUUGACAAAGUUUGUUAGGUAUAUGGAGUUCCUAAUAUACUUCUCGCUCAUAUUUUCCAAAGCUCGUUUAGAUCACCUAAAUCUCAUUGCAAUUGCAGCAAUUUUGGCCUGCCUAUGUUGUGGAUUUUAUAUUAUACUUGGAGGGAUUUUGUAUAUAUCAUCCAUGAGCACAGAUGUCAUAUGAUCUGAUCAUGUUUUGAAUUCAAUCUGCAUUAGCUCCUUCCAGACCCAGAUGUCAUAUGAUCUGAUCAUGUUUUGAAUUCCUGAUAUUGAUGCAGUCAUUCUUAUAAGAAGAUUGAGAGCACAAUUAUUCUUUUAUUGUUGGUAUCUGACUAUGCUUUUUGUUGUGCUGAUCAUGUCCGCUGACUGAUGUUUUCAGUUGGUUGGCCGGCUCGACAACAGUGCUGUCUCAUCAGCCGGUGCCAAGUUGGCAUUCAAGUCCAAUGAAGAAAUAGAACUUCAAGUAAGGUCCAUCCCACUAGACGAAGUGAUACCAGAGUCAGAACCUGUUCUUCUCGUCAAAAUAGAUGUUCAAGGCUGGGAGCAUCAUGUUAUGAAGGGGGCUGUGAAGUUGCCGUCAAGAGAGGUAGGCAAGGCACCGUAUUUGAUUUAUGAGGAGGAUGAACGGUUGUUGCAGGCAAGUAACAGUGGUUCUAAAGAGAUUUGAGAAUUUCGUCACUCUGUUGGGUAUCGUCAUUGCACCUAGCAUGGUACAGACGCAAACUGCACCAAGAACAGCUGAUAGUGGAUUAAUUUACCUUAACCUUGUUGAUGUAAGAUCACCGAGUCAAGCAUGAAAAGGGACAAUUCUUUAGCAGACUCCUUUGUGAGAGUUUUGCCUACCCUUAGACAGAACUUCCACUUAGUUCUAGAUGGAGAAUUAGAUUUGGAAUUGUAAUGAGACACACUGUCCAUUGAAGGAGCCAGUUAUUGAGCAAGUGAGGAAGCACAGAUACAUUAUGGUUUUCUCUUGGAGUAUAGUUAGGGUUGUAUCUAUCGCCAUUAGAUCUGCCACACCCAAUUUGUUAUUAUGUUUAUUUAUUGCAAUUCAUGCUUUGUAUUUGUAGCAAAUGACCUUGUGAUUUGCGAGUGAAUGCAGAAUAAGUUAUCGACCAGAACUUACAGAGGCAUAUUCAAUACCUUUUCACUUGUAGUCUUGUUUUUCCUGUUCUUUUUUUUUUCUUUAAAGCUUUUGGAAAUAAAUUCGUAUGUGCUCCCGUACUCAAAAUUAUUCCAUCAAACUUUGCACGCAUCUAGUUUAAAACCUCAUUGUUUUAUUGGGAAAAUAAAAUUAUGCAUCCAAACCCGACACUUCAUUUUUUUUUUUAUUUCUUGCCCAAUAACCCUUUUUGAAAUAAACUUGGCCAACUUUUUUUUUUCUUUAAAACUUUCGGAAAUAAAUUCUUAUGUGCUCCCGUACUCAAAAUUAUUCCAUCAAAUUUUGCACGCAUCUAGUUUAAAACCUCAUUGUCUUAUUGGGAAAAUAAAAUUUGGUAUCCAAAUCCGACACCUCAUUUUUUUUUAUUUCUUGCCCAACAACCCUUUUCGAAAUAAACUUGGCCAACUUUUUUUUUCUUUAAAACUUUCGGAAAUAAAUUCGUACGUGCUCCCGUACUCAAAAUUAUUCCAUCAAACUUUGCACGCACCUAGUUUAAAACCUCAUUGUUUUAUUGAGCAAAUAAAAUUUGGCAUCCAAACCCGAAACUUCAUUUUUUUUUCUAUUUCUUUCCUAACAAUCUUUGUAGAAAGGGUUAAUACCUUAAAAAACCAUAAACUGGUACACUUGUGACAAAUUUACCCCAAACUAUUUUUUUGACCAUGAAAAACCCCAAACUGGUACACCUGUGACAAAUUUACCCUGACUAACUAUAAAAAAUCCUAAACUGGUACAUUUAUGACAAAUUUACCCCAAAAUUAAUUUAUCCGACCACAAAAAAUCCCAAAUUGAUAAAUUUGUGACUAAUAUACCCUCCGAAAAAUUAGAUUAAUACCACAAAAAAUCACAAAAAUUAUAAACUAUGACAAACAGAGUGUAAAAUCACAAAUUGAUAUACCGGUCAAUUGUCACGUGUUAUUUAACUAACUAAAACUAACAGAUGGUAAAUUUGUCACAAGUGUACCCGUUUAGGGUAAAUUUGUCAAAGGUAUACUAGUUUUGGGUUUUUGGUGGUCAAAAAAAUAGUUUGGGGUAAAUUUGUCACAGGUGUACCAAUUUGGAGUUUUUCAAGGUAUUAACCCUUGUAGAAAUAAACUUGGCCAACUAUUCCUUUUUUUUUCUUUAAAGCUUUCGGAAAUAAAUUCGUAUGUGCUCCCGUACUCAAAAUUAUUCCAUCAAAUUUUGCACGCAUCUAGUUUAAAACCUCACUGUUUUAUUGGGAAAAUAAAAUUUGGCAUCCAAACCUGAGACCUCAUUUUUUUUUUAAUUUCUUGCCCAACAACCAUUUUCGAAAUAAACUUGGCCAACUUUUUUUUUUUCUUUAAAGCUUUCGGAAAUAAAUUCGUAUGUGCUCCCAUACUCAAAAUUAUUCCAUCAAACUUUGCACGCACCUAGUUUAAAACCUCAUUAUCUUAUUGAGAAAAUAACUUUUUGCGUCCAAACCCGACACUUCAUUUUUUUUUUUCUAUUUCUCCCUUUUAGAAAUAAACUUGGCCAACUUUUUUUUUUCUUUAAAGCUCUCAGAAAUAAAUUCGUAUGUGCUCCCGUACUCAAAAUUAUUCCAUCAAACUUUGCAUGCACUUAGUUUAAAACCUCAUUAUCUUAUUGGGAAAAUAAAAUUUGGCAUCCAAACUUGACACCUCAUUUUUUUUUUUAAUUUCUUGCCCAACAACCAUUUUUGAAAUAAACUUGGCCAACUUUUUUUUUUGCUUUAAAGCUUUCGGAAAUAAAUUCAUAUGUACUCCCGUACUCAAAAUUAUUCUAUCAAACUUUGCACGCACCUAGUUUAAAAUCUCAUCGUCUUAUUGUGAAAAUAAAAUUUGGCAUCCAAACCCGACACCUCACUUUUUUUUUUUAAUUUCUUGCCCAACAACCCUUUUUGAAAUAAACUUGGCCAACUUUUUUUUUCUUUAAAGCUUUUGGAAAUAAAUUCGUACGUGCUCCCAUACUCAAAAUUAUUCCAUCAAACUUUGCACGCACCUAGUUUAAAACUUCAUUGUUUUAUUGAGCAAAUAAAAUUUGGCAUCCAAACCCGACACUUCUUUUUUUGUUUUUUCUAUUUCUUGCCCAACAACACUUUUAGAAAUAAACUGGGCCAACUAUUUUUUUUUUUAGGGUUAAUAUCCUGAAAAACUCUAAAUUGGUACACUUAUAAUAAAUUUACCCCAAAUUAUUUUUUUGACCACCAAAAACCCCAAACUGGUAUACCUUUGACAAAUUUACCCCGAACUGGUAUACUUGUGACAAAUUUACCAUUUGUUAGUUUUCGUUAAAUUUUACUGUCAAAUUAUUAAGUUAAAUUACAUGUGAUAGUUUACUAGUAUAUCGACUUAGGAUUUUACGCAUCGUUGUCACAAUUUACAAUUUUUGUGAUUUUUUUGUUGUAUUAAUCUAAUUUAGCGGAGGGUAUAUUUGUCACAAAUUUAUCAGUUUGGGGUUUUUUGCGGUUGAAUAAAUUAGUUUAGGGUAAAUUUGUCGUAAAUAUACCAGUUUAGAGUUUUUUUAUAGUCAGUCGGAGUAAAUUUGUCACAAGUGUAUCAGUUUGGGGUUUUUCAUGGUCAAAAAAAUAGUUUGGGGUAAAUUUAUCACAGGUGUACCAGUUUAGAGUUUUUUUUAGAGUAUUAACCCUUUUUUUUUAUUAAAGCUCUCGGAAAUAAAUUCGUAUGUGCUCCCAUAUUCAAAAUUAUUCCAUCAAACUUUGCAUGCACCUAAUUUAAAACCCCAUCGUCUUAUUGAGAAAAUAAAAUUUGUCAUCCAAACCCGACACCUCAUUUUUUUUUUUAAUUUCUUGCCCAACAAUCCUUUUUGAAAUAAACUUGGCCAACUUUUGUUUCUUUAAAGCUUUCGGAAAUAAAUUCGUACGUGCUCUGUACUCAAAAUUAUUCCAUCAAACUUUGCACGCACCUAGUUUAAAACCUCAUUAUUUUAUUGAGCAAAUAAAAUUUGGUAUCUAAACUCGAUACUUCAUUUUUUUUUUCUAUUUCUUGCCCAACAACCAUUUUUUAAAUAAACUUGGCCAACUAUUCUUUUUUUUUUCUUUAAAACUUUUGGAAAUAAAUUCGUAUGUGCUCAGCUACAAGUUUUUUUUUUUUGUUUUCUCGGGAGAAUGUUUUCGUUUUUUCUUUUAAAUUGAAAUGGACUUUUUUGUGGGGCGCUCACAAUUGCACCACAUCCCGGAAAAGUACUCAUCCAUUAACUAUAAAAGAGCAAAUGAUAGCAUACACAAUCUCAUUACUUCACGAACAAACACUAGCUAUACAUUAUUCAAGUGAAAAAUAGAUGAAUAAACCCAUUUUACUAUAGCAAGAUGGUUCAAAAGCACGUCAUCUCACUAAUCCCAACCGUUAUACAAAUGGCCAUAUAAGACAAAUAAAAAAGAUACAUCCACAACCCUACUUCAUUGAUGCCAUCAUCAAUGAAAAGAACAAAUUGAUCAAAACCACUUCACCGAACCCAUUAUCACAAAAGAUAUUCCCAAAUGUUGUCACUUUUGUCUCUUCAAAUAACUUCUAACGCUUGUGCUCUUGACAUUAUUAAGAGGAUCCAUACUAGUAGAGCCACCAGCACUGCCACUUGCAUUUUUAUUUGUACGUCUCUGAACCUACAAAGAAUAUAUUCUUUUAAAGUAUUAUCGACAAAACGAACAUGACAUAAUAGAAAUGGAAGUACUAACCAAAUUUUUUUGUCUUGAAAAUUGUGUUUAGGAAGAUGUAGACCUAAUCUUUUUAAUUGGACAAGUUGAACUAUUGUGUCCCGUCUUCAAGCAAGUUCGACAUGUCAUCUUCAUUCCUAUCCUUGACAUCCUAAUUCCACUUGCCACCUCACCUUCUUCUCUUGAUCUUUUCUGUUUACGUCUACCACGCUUCACCCGGGAUGGAAGUGGUUCAGGCGACUCCCCAUGAGUCUUUUUCCAAAAUCUCUCUCCUCGAAUUGGCAUCAUCAUGUUUUCAUAUGUAGCUAAAAACUUGGCUUUCUUAUAACAUUCAUCAAUAUAAUUAUAUGCAUCCUCUUGCCUAUGAUUUAUAGCAGAAAUUGCAUGAGGACAAGGGAUGCCAGUAAGUUGCCAUUUUCUACAAGAGCAAUCUUUCUUGAAUACAUCCACUACAUAUUUGUCACCUUUAUCCAUUACCUCAUAUCUAACAUUACCAUUCCAUAUCACUUGACAGUAUAUUGCACCAAUUCUAUUUUCUUCUAGUUUUUUUAUGAUUCUUGGACCACAAUUUCUUUUCCACUUAGCACAUGCAUCCCUCUGUCUAUGCAUCCUUGUUAUUAUCAUUAUCCACAUUUCCUCCAACAUACUAUAUAUAGACUUACACUUAGCAUGUAUAAUUUUUCCAUUGAAUGCUUCGCAUAAGUUAUUGUCAACAAUGUCACAUUUCACAUCAGUAUUAAAGAAAGCCUUACACCAGUGUUUUGGCUUUGUUUGCACCAAAUCAUGAUAUGCACAAGGACUAAUUUUCUUCAAUGCCUGAAAGUGUUCAUCAUACUCCGUCCUAGUAUUGCUCUUAGCACACUGCCAAAAUAGUCUUUGCAUUUGUAUUCCCUUAUGUUUCUUGCCCCAAUUAGCAUAGAUGUGUCUAGCACACAUCCUAUGCUUAGCUGCAGGCAGUAAAUCAGCCACAGCUCCUAUAAGGCCCUGCAAAAAAUGAUUGCAAUGUAAAACAUAUCUUAUAAAUGUGGCUAUUUAAGAAGUAUAACAAAUAAAAAUUAAUUAAAGAACUCACCUUUUGUUUGUCGCUAAUUAUGACCCAACCUCGUCCAUAUGUGUCAAAAAUAUUAAGAUAAUACAUCAAAUUUCUUAAGAACCACGUCCAGGUGUCGCUACUCUCAACUCUGACAACCGCCCAAGCAAUUGGGAACAUCUGAUCAUUUGCAUCCCUUCCAAUAGCACAUAAGAUCUGACAUUAACAAAUUCCUUUCAAGAAACAACCAUUUAACCCCACAACUUGCCUACAUCCACUAAGGAACCCUUUCUUACAAGUAGCAAAGCAAAUAUACAUUCUUUCAAACAACGCCUUGGAGUGCAUAUCUGGCUUUUCAACCUUCAAUGUAAUAGUACUCCCAGGAUUUUUCUCCCUAAGCUCCUCUGCAUUAUCCCACAGUUUUACAUAUUCCUUCUUAUAGUUUCCCAUCAACACUUUAUAAGCAAACGACUUAGCCUUCGUACAUUGAGCUAUGCUUACAUCUAAACCCAACUAUUCCUUGAUUAAUUCCUUGAAAGCAAUAGUUUAAAUAGUUGGCAUUGCUUUUAUUGUAGGAAGAUAAUGAUUUGCUAACCAAGAACUUGUCACCCUCCUAUUUUUGAAGCAAAUGCUACAAGUAUGCUCUGAAUGUAAGGUCUUGACAUGAAAUGAUUCGGAACGAGCAUCAACAGAGCCAAAAAUCUUCCAAGGACAACUCUCAUUAACACAUUUUGCUCUAACAAACUUCUUAUCAUUCUUUGUAAAUUUUAUCUCUCUACGUUCAGUCACUGAGUACUUUUUCAAAACAUCUUUGAAUUGGCUACUACUAUCAAAUGUCAUAGCCACAGUAAAUACAUGCACAACACAAUUAGGAUUAUAUCUUGGAAACCUACUUCUCUUUCUAGUAAAAUCAUCUUCUCCCUCUACAUCAGACCCCAAAUUGUCAUAGGCAUAUGUAUCAUAAUAUUCCGUCUCGUAACCAGCUUUAGCAUCAACUCCACUAUUCACAUCUAAUGGUUGAGAUGUACUAAUGCUGUGGAUGGUUCCCCUAUAAUUAGAUUCUUUGUAACCCUCCCACGAAACUCAAUUAUAUUCUGCCUUGCUUCUAGAAGCUCUUCAUUAUCAAUAUCAUCAUCAUCAGUCCAAAAUUUUACAUCGCCAAGAAAAUUUGUCUCAUCAUCAUUGUCAUCAUCCAAAAUAUCCCCCCUAUGUCAAUAAAAUUACAUUCAUCAACUAAGUCAUUAGGAUCUAAGUCAUCCUCGUGCUCAAUAAUUGUCUCAUUUCCUAAACCAAUAUCAUUGCGAGCACCCACACUAAUCCCUUGACCAACACUCUCACUUGGGCAAGCAUCCUCACCCUCACCACCCCCAUGACCAAAACCCUCACUUGGACUAGCACCCACACCCACACCAACCCCUUGACCAUCACCUUUAACAGCCUCAUCGAUUGCAAAAUUUUCUCCAUAUAUCUCAAUUAACUCACGAUGCAAAUAACUAAAAAGUAAAUCAAUGACAUUACUCUCAUUCCAUAUAUAUCUCAACCCAUCUUCUAGAAACUUUCCAAGAAACUUAAAAUAAAGUUUUUCAAAUUUAUAAUUACCCCAUUCUCAAUAUCUCUAAUGAAGCUUUCAUAGCUCCUUGAACCGAUAACCAAAUCAAUCUUACCCCCAACAUAUUCAAGCAUUGGGCGACGGUAAAAAUUUCCACCAUGGAAAAGGCAAGCCCAUGCCGACUUGUCGCUCAUCUCAACCCUAUACAAAAGAACACAAUAUAUGUUGUAAGAAGCCACAUAAUGGAGAUUUUAACAUGAAUGGCCAAAAGUGCUAAAUAAAUAUAAAGAGUUUGACUUGAGCAUAAGUGCAAAAUCCUUCCCGUCUCAUAAUUACAAGUGAAAUUUCUCUCUAAUUUAUAGGAAUUAACUAGUUCAAUUAAUAUCUAGUACCUAUGAUACGAGAAUUCAAGGUGAAUAGUGGCAUAAAAUUAGUUUGCUUUCAAGUUAGAUAUUUGGUUUGUAUAGCUACUUGAAGCCGAUGCCAAAAAUCUUAGGGCUGAUAAAAGAAAUUUUUCUCCCAUAGUAGAUGUGAUCUUGUUUUUUUGCAACUAAUGAAGGAGAACAAAAACCAUGAUGCUAGGUUCUUUGUAUAUAGAUAUAGCAGGUCAAUGUAUUACAAGUAGCAUGGCUCACAAGGCUUUAAUUUUAGAAUGUUACUUCAUAUUAUCUCAAUUCUUUCCUACCAUCACUUCCAUGGAUAUCGUCUUUUGGCUUUUCAGGAUUUUUGACAAUAGUUUCAUUGUUUAGGUGGCUGAAGAGUGUACUUCUAUGCUUAAACUUUGAUGUUAAUUUGCUCAGAAUCACUGAUCUACUUUCAGUUUAAAACCAAACGGUUGGUUUGUUCAACGCAUGCGGAGAAAUAAGAUAAUUUGGGAACACGCCAAAGACAAACAUGGAGACAAAACAUAGUUUAGGACCACGACAAUAUACCUUUCGACAGAUUUUAAUUGACUUCACGACCACCCACCACGUAGCUCACCACUUGCCGACAACACAAUCAAAUUGGGACCACCUCACUUGCUUGUGUUUGCUGUGGAUGAACAAAUCGGGUCAAGUUGUGGGCGAAUUGAGUCUUCAGGUCUUCGAGUCUCUCGUCUUCUCAAUUGUAGCAACGAACGAAUUGGGUCAAGUUGUGGCCGAAUCAGGUCUUUGGGUCUUAUGGUCUUCUCAAUUCGGGCAAGAAGCGACGAACAAUGGUGUUGGCCAAAAACGGGCUUGAUUCACGAAGGAUAUUGAGGAAAUUGCAAUAUGAGAUCAAAUCAACUCAAAAUCUACAAGAAUUUCGGAGGAGAUCUCACUAGGGUUUUUUAGAUGAUUUUGGAAAGAAGCAAGGAGCAGCUGCAUGACUUUUCUCUUAUGACUUUUCUCUUUGGCUUUUAUUUUUUUUAAAGCAAAACGACGACGUUUUGCUCUCCGGUGCCAUGUCAGCGUCGGCAAUGCCGACCGGCGCUGACUAGAAUGCCACAUUAGAUUUUUCCGACUAUGCAUGGCUGGAUGGACUGAACUGGAACAAAAACAAAAGGUUUAGGAAUAAAUUGGAAAAAAAAAGUUUAUGACUGAAUUGGCACAAUUGCAAUAGGUUUAGGACUUUUUUGGUAAUUUUCCCAAAAAAGAGACAUUUGGAGGGGGUACUUAGAGAUCAUCAACAAAUGAAAAUAAUCAAAAUGAUAAGGAGAGUGAGAAGAAGUUGGUAAGUUUAUAAAUUGACUUAUUAUAGUGUUUGCAAUUUAUUUAUGAUGCUUAUAAAAUUUCCAAAGAUUUGGUUAUUCUUUAAUUCAUUUCAAAGUUGGUAAAUUUCUAACGGCAUUGAUAAGUUAUUGAUAGGUUAUUUGGCAAUCAAAUUGAUGGUCAUGCUUUUCUUUUAUCGACUGUACUAGAUGUUAAUGUUGGCUGGGUUUGGCUAUGUGGGGCCCGAUUAACGUUAAUAAAUAAAAGAAAAGGCCAAAAAGUCAAAAAUGCAAUAAAGGAAAAGAAAGGCGGGCUGCUCGUUCGGAGAAGACAGGAAAUGGGCUGCCAAAUAUCGUCGGAGUCGACUCAAAUUUCAAUAUUUUGUUAUAAGACCAAGACAGAUGAGUCGAGAUAGGUGCGUCCAUCAGUUUCAUUUGUCAAUCCGUUUUGUUCAUUGAACACUUUUUCUAAAUUAUCUCAAAUUUCUCCAAUUGUGACUAGGGUUUCUUACUUCAUAUAUAUUAAUCCGCUUUUACAGUGAUGAAAUGUCAUUAUAUUGUUGAUAUUGAUCUCUAAUAUAUUACUAAAGAAGAACCUCUAUGCAUCUUACUAUUUUUUGUGGUUAGUGAAAGUUUUUGAAUUGUCCAUAAUUUUUUUCGCAUUGAAUUUUCCACAUAAACUUGUCGUCGUGUUUGCUUUCGUCUAUUUUUAUCAUUUUGGCAUUAUUUUUAUUCAUUACAAGAUUAUAUUGUAGGAAUAUAUUGCCUGUUAUUAUAGGGUUGAGUCGAUUUUGGUCCAGUUAAUCUUGGGAAGAAAUUGAUUUUACAUUAGGUUAAUUUUUGAUGAAUUGUUGCCGGUUCUCUCGAACUUUGUAUCAAUAAUUUUGGAAAUCCAUCAAGUAAGGGAAAUUUUCUGCAUUUUCCUUUCACUACCUUGCACUCAGUCCCGAAAGCUUGCGUCAGCCACAUCUUUGAUUUUUUGUAUCAUCGACCAAUAGCAUUUGAUUUUAUGGUCUUCGUUGUCGUGAAAAAGUAUGAUUUUUGUACCGAUCGCGUCCUCAUCGGCAUCUUUGAUUUUUUUGUCUCAUCGACCAAUAGCAUGUGAUUUCAUGGUCUCCGUCGUCGUGAAAGAUAUGAUUUCUGCCCCAGUCGUGUCCUUAUCGGCCCAAAGCAUUUUACUUGCUUUUCCCAGAAUUGCCCCAGUUAAUAACACUUCAAUUCGUGUUAUAUUAUGAUAUGAGAAAUGGAUAUUUACUGCGGGAUUCGUCCAAAUCGGUUUCGUCCAGGGGCACGAUAAGAAGAGAUGCUCCAAUAUUCCUUUUUUCAAACUUUCUUGCAAGAUUGAUUGCAGUUUUAUUUUUCAGGAGUCGUGCUUUGAUUGGAUAUGUUCAUGUUUCGGAGGAGGCUUGUGAAAUUUUGAAGACGACUCGCAUCACACUUGUCGACAUGCAGGGAUGGAACUAUUAGGGGUGAGCAUUGGUCCAGGGUUGACCCUAGACCGACUCUGGACCAGCCCAACCCUGUCGGUCCAGGUCCAAUUCCCAAGGAGACUAGUCGGUUGUUGGUCCUAGAAAUCCUAGACCAGCACUGUGUAGGUCAGUCCUCGGUCCUGAGAAUUUCGGGUCAGUCCAACCUAGACCAACCCGGACACUAUAUAUAUAAAAUAUUAUUUAUAAUUUUUUUAUAUAGAGAAAACCUUAAAAUAAAUGGCGUCAACAACAUUAAAUAAUUUUUUGGUGAGAAGUUCAAGUAAUUUUACAUUGUUCUUUAAUAAUUUAGGUUUUAAUGUCUUUUAUGGCGUCAAUAGCCAUAAUUUAUGAAGGAGGAAAAUAUUUUUGUGAGGAGUCCUCACGGCGUCCAAAAAGGAACCUUAUGUCAUCCUCCUCUAGUAUUCGUUAUCUUCUGUCUUAUUUGUCCUCUUAGUUUUCCAUUUGCUAAAAUCGAAAAAAAUUUCUCCACUCACCGCUCGACACUUGCCUCACUGGCUUUGGGUCACUCUUGCUGCUCGCUGCUCGAUACUUGCUUGGCUUGUUGUUCCCCACUCGACAUUCGAUGCUCAUUCUGUUCGAUGCUCACCCCAUUUGACUCUCACUGCUUGCCUUUCUUAGUUGACCUUGUCCAUUAUCGAACCCAUUGGGUCGGUACAUUCAAUGAUCAUUCUGUUCGGCGCUCACCCCAUUUGACCCUCACCGCUUGCCUUUCUUAGCUGGCCUUGUUCAUUAUCAAACCCAUUGGGUCGGUACGGUCCUUGGUUGCCCUUUCAAGGAAUACAAAAAAUGAAAUAAAAAAUUAUUGGUUAGUCCUAGGUUGAUCUCGAAAUCGAACCGAACUUAUUGGGUCAGUCCGGUCCUCAAUCGUUUUUUUUAAGGAGUACAAAAAAUGAAAUAAAAAAUUAUCAGUUGGUCCUGGGUUAACCCUGGAAUCGGAUCGAACCCAUUAGGUCGGUCUGGUUCUCGAUCCCAAGCUUAAUAGGGUCGGUCCUCGGUCCCCAAAAUUGAGGACCAACACUGUGCGGGUUGCUCCUAGGGUUAGGGGGUGGACCGGCCCAACCCAGACCAUGCUCAUCCCUAGGAACUAUCAUAUAUUUUUAGUGGGGUCAAUGCCCUAAAGACUGUAAGAUAAGGUAUUUCAUUUAACAAAAAAAUUAUAAAGAUGCGAUCGAGCUAUUUAUUGAUUUGAAGUAGUUUUUCUAUGCAAAAUUUGAAAUCAACACUUUGACAUUGAAUCAUGAAUGUGAACAAAAUUCAGUUUCAAAUCCCUGUGCUUGAGCUCAACUCAAUAUAGUAUAUAGGGCUCGAAAUUAAACUUGAUUCCACUCAUUUGACUUGUUACGUAGGAUGUUUCUUUCUAUUUUUCCUAAUCAUAUAUUGUACCUUUCGCAUAGCCUAGUCAUGCCAUUUGAUUGCUUUAUCUUCCGACUCUAUCAAGCCUCGUGUUUGAUUGGUGGUGUGGUUGUCUAGUUGUGCAAUGUCUAAGCUCGAUAAUUUUUUGAUAAUUGUUUAUCUUUUUACUUUUCUGUUUUUUGCAUCACAAAGAAGUUUAUAGUACANNNNNNNNNNNNNNNNNNNNNNNNNNNNNNNNNNNNNNNNNNNNNNNNNNNNNNNNNNNNNNNNNNNNNNNNNNNNNNNNNNNNNNNNNNNNNNNNNNNNNNNNNNNNNNNNNNNNNNNNNNNNNNACAAUGGAAGUUACUAAAAAGGCAAAGUGGGGUUUCAUUAGGCAUUCAUCAGUUGGAUUUUAUUUCUUUAGAUAAACUAUAAGGAUCCCAUCCCACUGCUCCUUUUGCUCUUCCGAUUUCCAUCUUUUGGCAAUGGAAAACCGUAGCCACAACAACUCCGAUAUAAAUUAAGGAAUCGUUAUGCUAUCUGGAUCCUAUGAGAAACUAUUGAGGUUGUCUCAUCCAUUGAUCGUAAGACUUUUAGGAUUAUAUGUCACAACCGUACUUCCAUUCACUCAUGUAACACUUCUUGGAUAUGUCCUUCCUCAGCACUUCAUUUCGAGUUGGGAUUAAUAGUUCCCCCCGUACAGAUUGGAGUACGAAGCCCACCCAAAAAAUCGAAUAAAAUAGUCCGUUUUAUUUUGCCGGUAUCAGUAGCUGACUUAGUUCUAAUGACUCUCUUUGGAAUAUGAGGCAAUAACAGAGCAAAUCUAUCAAACAAUUCUCCACCAAGAGCAGAAACUCUUUUAUUAUGUAUGUUGGAUUGAUUAGUCGAUUUACGACAUUUUGUAUAGAAAUUACGAAAAAAUGUAAAUAGUUAUAAUUCGUUAUAAUUCGUUAUAAUUCAAAAAUUUGUUUAUCGAUGACCAUAAAACUGCUCAUAUAUUAUAAGAAGAAAUUCAAAAAAUCCUCCAACACAAAAGUUAUUCAUCACAUCGAAUCUCCAACAUUGUAUAGUAAAGUAGACGAUCUACCAUUGUGCAUCAUUCAAGUUUCACACACAAACAUAAAUAGAAACUUCUAAAUUCAUAAGCAUACAAUAAGAUAAGAACGACUAUUGUAAUUUCUGUCUCAUUUAUUGUCUAGAUUAGACAGGUCGCUUUGUCCAGUGCCCACAGUUAGGGCAUUUCUACUUGAAAAAAGCUAGUACUCUUCCAUGCUUGCACUUCUCACAAAUAAAUGUGCCAUCUGUGCAGGCUAAUUGCCCCACUGCAACCGUUGCCAGCCCCACUCUGUCGCCGUCCUCACCAUCGCCGCUACCUUCGCCGCCCUCACCGCCGCCGCCGCCACCCUCACAGCCACCGGCAUUGCCCCGUCAGCCACUGACACUGGCAUUGCCCCAUCGGCCAUUGGCACUGGCACUUCCCCGGCGGCCCUUGCGGCCCCGACUUGCCCUGCGGCCCUUUCGGCCCUAGCAGCCCCUGUGGCCUCGGCGGCCCCUUCUCCCCUUGCGGCCCCAUCUCCCCCUGCAGGCCCAGCAGCCUUGGCCGCUGGAUGCAAUAGAAAAGGAAACCACAAAGCAUAACAGCAACAAUGACUAAACCAACAAUAACCCAUGUUGGGAUGUUACUGUCAUCGGAUGAUACGGAAUUCGGAUCGACCCAUGCCGAUGGAUGAGGAAAGUAUUGGAAACACGGAUGAGUUGGGGACAGNNNNNNNNNNNNNNNNNNNNNNNNNNNNNNNNNNNNNNNNNNNNNNNNNNNNNNNNNNNNNNNNNNNNNNNNNNNNNNNNNNNNNNNNNNNNNNNNNNNNNNNNNNNNNNNNNNNNNNNNNNNNNNNNNNNNNNNNNNNNNNNNNNNNNNNNNNNNNNNNNNNNNNNNNNNNNNNNNNNNNNNNNNNNNNNNNNNNNNNNNNNNNNNNNNNNNNNNNNNNNNNNNNNNNNNNNNNNNNNNNNNNNNNNNNNNNNNNNNNNNNNNNNNNNNNNNNNNNNNNNNNNNNNNNNNNNNNNNNNNNNNNNNNNNNNNNNNNNNNNNNNNNNNNNNNNNNNNNNNNNNNNNNNNNNNNNNNNNNNNNNNNNNNNNNNNNNNNNNNNNNNNNNNNNNNNNNNNNNNNNNNNNNNNNNNNNNNNNNNNNNNNNNNNNNNNNNNNNNNNNNNNNNNNNNNNNNNNNNNNNNNNNNNNNNNNNNNNNNNNNNNNNNNNNNNNNNNNNNNNNNNNNNNNNNNNNNNNNNNNNNNNNNNNNNNNNNNNNNNNNNNNNNNNNNNNNNNNNNNNNNNNNNNNNNNNNNNNNNNNNNNNNNNNNNNNNNNNNNNNNNNNNNNNNNNNNNNNNNNNNNNNNNNNNNNNNNNNNNNNNNNNNNNNNNNNNNNNNNNNNNNNNNNNNNNNNNNNNNNNNNNNNNNNNNNNNNNNNNNNNNNNNNNNNNNNNNNNNNNNNNNNNNNNNNNNNNNNNNNNNNNNNNNNNNNNNNNNNNNNNNNNNNNNNNNNNNNNNNNNNNNNNNNNNNNNNNNNNNNNNNNNNNNNNNNNNNNNNNNNNNNNNNNNNNNNNNNNNNNNNNNNNNNNNNNNNNNNNNNNNNNNNNNNNNNNNNNNNNNNNNNNNNNUAAAAAAAAAAGCUAGGAAUUUCAUCCAUGUGCCUAAUAAGACCCAAAAUUAUCAAAUAAUAUAAUUUAUAUAUUGUGUCAAUGUAAUUUUAAACAGUUUUUUUUUUUUUACCAAUUGAGUAUUAAACCUUUUAUAUUUAUGUCCAUUUAGUUCGUCCGAUCAAAAUUGACCGGCCAGCACUAACAUGAACACGAGAUGUCUUACAUGGCGCCAUCGAUCCUGACAUGGAUAAUUUUUAGUAAUAUUGUAACAUUUUUUUAUUUAUUUUUAUUCCUAUUUUUCUUUUUAUAUUUUCUUUUCUUUUUUUCCUUUUUUUCUUUCUUUCGUUUUUAUUUUUUUCUUCACUCCCUUCUUUCUCCGGCUAGUCACCAGCGACCACUGGAAAUGAAGCUUUAGGAAGAAUGGAGCGAGCUUCAAAUACUGUCCAGACUCGAUCAUGUCUUCAUGGGUGAUGUUCAGGAGCUAGGAAUUAGGCCCAUUGAAAUGAUACAUGUGUUUGACUAUUCACUGUCUAAGGUGGUAAGAUUUCGGUGAAGGGCCAAGAAAAACAAUCAGGUUUGAAAUGAGAAAUUAUUAUAUGCUCUACAAAACGUGUGACCCGAUAUCAUCUUGAUCAUUAAUCAAGUAGAUCUCGCUAUGAGUCCCCGGGAUCAAUUGUUGAACUGGGUUUCAACAUAAGAUUUAUUGAAUGUACAGUAACAUUGCAUGCAAAACAGGGUUGCAUACGUGAUUUGAAAAAUAAAAUUCACUCUACUAUCCAAAGUCAAGUCCACAAAAACUUAUUUUAGAACCAAACUGUUAAGGAUAUAAGCGACCCACUGUCGAUUCGUUUCUACUUCGAGUAUUCUAAAAACGUAGGAAAAUGUUCUAAGAUCCUCCUGAACUUAAACUGUCUUAGAUGGGCACAUAAAAAAACCACUAAUCUCAGUCCGCACGUUGGUCUAUUCUUGUCCCCAUCUCUCUUAUGGUCACGGGACUCCUGUCCGAACGAUAUUAAAAGACAGCCAUGUGGCCAGCUAAUUAGAACGGUGGAAUUAAAGAAGAAACGUGGGAAAAACGACGUAAAGGCAAAGUCCGUCGUCUCGUCACCAUCGGCCAUGAUCGUGCAUUUUUAGAAUCUUGUCCCUCCGAUUUUAUUCGCCAUCACAUCGUUUUCUUCCCCCAACUGCGGGACUCUCGAGUCUGUCGCUACCCUUUCGUCGCAAUGAUGGUUCCAAUGCCAUAACAAAAGACGAUGGAUAGACCCACAAAUUGAAUCUAGUCAAAAAUGGUCAAAUUCAAAUUAACAUAUUUCAUUCAUUUUGAUUUAUUUUCAUGCAAUUCAAAUUAUGUUACUCAUACCCGACCUAAUUCAUAUAUGAUUUGACUCAUAUUUCUAAAACACUUCCAUAUUUAAACUAAUUUAAGAAAAUCCAAAAUGAAGUGAGUAAAUUGUGAACUUAUUUAAUACCCAUAUUAUUUUGAAUUUAAGUCAUUCAUAUAAUCAAAAAAAUAGUCUUAUAACCCAUUUUAACAAGUCUACCAUCAGAUAAACAUGAUAUCCCGACAUUUAUGAAAAAUUGUCCCAAUUAUGUCACAUCGCAUAUACAUGUAAGAAGGAAGAUUGGGACAUCUCCCAAAAAUCAAGUACGUAAUCGACAUUGCAUAGGUUGAGAAAAGAGCAAGAAGAACUAUAAAUUAUUCCUUUAAUUCUACUUGAUUCAAAUGGGAUGCUGACUGCCUUUGGGGAACGACAUAUGUGAAACGCAAUAAGCAAAAUACACAAAAGAUAGCGACUAAUUAAGAUAUGGAAAAACACAUAAUGGAAAUAUUGUGUCGGAUUCCAAGGAAUUGAUAAUGUUCAGAAACCACAGAGAAAAAGGCACCUUUUGUGUCGAGAACUGCACUCCUUUCUGAAGAUAAGUUGACAGCGUCCUCCACAGUGUCCGCAACCUGCAUAGGCAAGCAUAAAAGAGUUCAACCGGGUAAGCGAUUUUUGGAUACACUUUUAACCUUGGAAAAUUUGGAGAGAAGUCAAAUUCCCCAUAAAAGUUGCUUUCAAUUGGGGAUAUUUUGGAAAUACUGACAUUUUGCUAGGCUGAAGAAGGAAAAGAUUCAAUCAUGUUUCAUCCAACCGAUUUAGAAUUGACCGAUCACCCAGAGCAUAGCAAAUCAAGGUAUGUAAGUAUGGGAGGGUUUUUUACGAUGACAACUCAAAACCACUUGAGGCCAUGUCUGGUUCAUGGCCAUGGAAUCAUGAAAAGGAAUCUCAAUCUAAGCAAUCAAAUUCCUAGAUGUCGGGUUCAUUCUUUAGUGUUUGGUUUCAAUUUAAUUAUGAAGGGAGAAAUGUCCGAUGUGAGAUGCAAUUUGAGGUAAAAACAUGUCAGAAAUGGAAUGUGUAAAAUAUUUCUUCCAUACACAUAUCUAAAGUGGCUAAUGAAAAAGUAGGGAUAAAAACAGAAUGAAGAACCACAAACGAUGCCCCGACAAUUUCCCGAUUAUUGUCAUCUAAAAUGAUCAUAGAGUUCACACAAUCAUUUCACAAACACAUUACAUACAGUUCCUCAAAAUUGAGAAAAGCAUUUCACACAGAAUCUGCAACAAUGAAGAUAAAGUCAUUCCCGCAUAACUUCAAACUACUUCAAAGCUGUUACCUCAAGCCAUUGUGAUAUUCUUGUCUUUAUUGUGUUUAGAGUCAGACCCACUCACGAGAACAAAUGGAGUGACAGCAACUCAGCCAAGUGUGUUAAUGGAACUCUAUAUCCCCACCCAAGCCAACGUGAUGCUCAUAGUUGCCGUCUCCAUUAACAGACCAGAUAAGUUUCAUAAUAGCGAGAAAGAGAAAUAAUCUCACCUUGUAGAGGAAUGUGAGGGCCAUGGAAUCAAGAGGCAGGCGAAACUCCCAUGGAAGGAUAUGAAGAUGAUGAAUGGCGCGAGAGAGAGAGAGAGAGAGAGAGAGAGAGAGAGAGAGAGAGAGAGAGAGAGAGAGUUAUGGCUUUGUAGAAUUUGAAGAUGAUGAAGCUCAAGAGUAUUGAGCGUGUUGGGCUCCCGAAUGUUUUUUCCUCCUAGAAAUCCCAGUACCAUCUCUACCUAAGCAAUCCGGUUCUGCAUUAGGAGUAUCCAUUAACUAGGCACUUUGAUUCUAUGAUCAUAAAUCCAUCCAAAGAUGAGCUGUAAUGGCAUUCCAUUUCCUCUUUAUUACUCCAAGGUGAACCAAACAAGGCCUAAGUGAUUACACGAUGCACUAUACUUCUGAAUGUUUUCAUGGUGGAAUAAAUGAUCUGCAGUCUCAACCAUGACUUUCCAUAGGAUCACGUAUCUAAAAUCUCUAAACCAAAGAAGUGAAUAUGCUGGAAUGCACACAAUUCGCUUACUUAGGAACCUACCAUCAACUCACCCCAACGUACAUGCAAGGAGAGAUGGGAGAGACAGAUAGAGAAAUGUCUGGAUUUUGUUAAGAGUACGAAUACCUACCACGUCCAUGAGAAGUUCUGAAUGAUUAUCUUUUCCCUUGAAUACCCCAGUCCUUAUUAAUAUAGAAAACCAAGGAUCUCCUGCCUGAAGGAGUUGUUAUCAGUACUAGUGAUUGUGUUCGGAAAUAAAAUUACUGAUAAUACAAUUCUCAGUAUGAAAUAUACCUGUCGUGCGCCUCUAAUGUCGAUUUUGGAUUAUCCCCUAUCAUGUAUAGUGUUCUGAAACAACGGAUUCCAGAGUAUGUAUAAUUCUCCACAUCUAGGUUGCUUAACAACGAUGGCAUAAGAUUCCUUAACACGGUCUCAGCAUUUCCAUAGACAAAUGGAUUUGGCCUCCCAUACGAUGUAUACGUGUUGACACCUAAAUUUUGACAAUUUAGUUUAUUUAUUUAUUGCAUAGGAAAUUAGGGCUUAAUUUUAUUAAUUACAUAGCAUAUAGAUUUAGGUGCAUUUUAUUUUAAUUGGCAUUUUAUUUAUUGGACCGGUGCGGAUGGGUUCAAAUUAAUUGGACUAAGCCCACGAAGCGAGCAAGUUGGCCCAAGCUCGUGUUUUUUAAUAAUUAAAAAAUUAUCUCGUGGGAAUAUAAUAUUUUAAAAUUUUUCCGAGAUAUGAAUCUUUUUUGGAUAGGCCGAUGGGUAAAAGAAUAUUGCAAUUUGGUUUUGAAAGAUUUGGAUUUAGAGAAAAAUUCUAUCAUAAUCUUGAAUCCUUAUUAAUAUGGGAUAAAAUUGGUGAAGGAAUAUUGCGUUCGAAAAAUUCUCGUGGAUGUUGAUCUAAAACCCUAGUUCACUCACCUAUAAAUAGGUUGCUACACCACAGGGAAAAAAAAAGAUGGACACAGACGGCCUUUGAGAGUAAAACGUGAGUGGGGCUUCACAAUUGAGAGACACGUGAGAGAGGAGAGAGUGUGAGUUUUCUUGGCCAAUUCUUGACCAAGACCCACGUCGAUGCUUCUGCCGCGGUGCUUUUGUCGUCCCCAAUACAUUGUCAAUGAGCUGCUAUCCUGUUGAGUUAUUACUCGAUCGCUUGACAACGCCACCGCAGCCCCUUCAUCGAUGACGUCACUGCAGCUCUGACCCUCGUAGUUGCUGUUCCGACUAUUACCCAAUCGCCGUCGUCGCUGCUGCCGCGAGACCACACGUUGAUCUGUUGGCCAGCUGUUGCCUUGUUGACGCCAUCCCUGUCUUGCUGAUCUGUUCCGACCCGAGCAGCAACGUUGCAACGAUCUCAUCAAUUCUAGUGAGCCCCUCCAUGAUUUCGGGAGGUCAAAGUUUGACAAUCAGUGGGAUUGUCAGAAGGCUAGUGGAUUUCCUUGCGUCACCAAAUUCCACAAAACCAACAGUGGGAGACCAAGAUUAGCCAUCCAUCGACGAGUCCCUUGCCGAGCUUACAAAUUUUUGUUUCGCAGGUCUCGUGGAGCUCAUCGAGCGAUUUUCGAGCAACCAAGCACCGCCACGUUGGAUCGCGAGUAGCUAUUCGAGGAUCAGAAUUCGAAAACCAAUAUUCAAAUUAGGUGAAAAUCUUAUCUAUUUUGAUUUUCGAAUAUUCCGUUACCUUAUUUGAGAUAUUUGUUGAUGCAUAUGAUUGAAAUUGCCUCUCAAAUUAGGGACUAACAGUCCGAUUUUCGCGUCCGAAAUCCGACUCGCAAUCCCUUGCAAAAAAAAAAUCUACAAUCCGAUCUCAAGCCCGAGAUUUGAUUCGCGAUGUAAUUUAAAAUUGGCCAACUCGAUCUCAUGCGCGAGAUAUGGUUCGCUAAUUUUCGGAUAUCAAUCUCAUCUUGUUUGAUUUUGCUUGUCGUCAAGUUGGUUGAGUUAAUCGAAUUUUUUAAAAGAAAAAUCCAAAAAAAUCUGAAUAAGGAUUAGGUUUGUUUUUAUUAUCUUGCAUAUUUAGGAUUGCAAUUUUAUUUCGAAUUUUUAAAUAAAAAAAUCCAAAAAAAUACAUAGGAUGUUAGUUUUAAAUUUGAAUUACAUGUUUAAUUAUUUGGCAAUUUUAAUUUCGAAUUUUAUAAAAAAACACAAAAAGAAGUCAUCAUGCAUAUGUCAUAUAUAAUUAGGACAUUGUCAUGGCAUAUUAGAUAAAAUUGCAUGUUUCAUUUUAAGUUUAGAUUAAUUUUCUAGAUAGAUUGCAUCUUAGGUUAGAGAUUUGCUAGGUUAAGAUAAUAUCUUAGUUUUAAUUAGGAUUUAGUCUGACCUGAUUAAUAUAAGCUGGAUAAAAUCUUAAUCUAGAUAAAUAAUUUUUGCAUUUUUCUUAAUUUCGAAUUUCAUGAAAAAUACAAAAAUUGCCUUAGAAUAAAUUCAUUUCAUUAUCUAGAAUAGAUAUGUCAUAUAGAAUUAGGGCAUUGUCAUGGCAUAUUAGAUUAGAAUUGCAUGUUUCAUUUUAAAUUUAGAUCAUCUUUUUUAGAUAAAUUGCAUUUUAGAUUUAGAUAAUGUCUUAGUUUAAAUUAGGAUUUAAUAUAACUUAAUCCCUAGUUUAAUUAGAUAGAAUCUUAAUCUAGCUAGAUCAUUUUAAAUUUCAUAAAAUUUGUCUUAGGAUAAAUUAGUUGCAAUUUCUAGGAUAGAUUGCAUUUUUAAAAUAAAAAAAUGUCAUUUGCAUGUCAUAUAGAAUUAGGUUCAUGAAAUGCAUGUCAUUUUAGUAAUUAUUGUUAGGUUCAUUUCUAAUUAGAAAUUGUCCGUCAUUAGAUUAGGUCAUUUAAUAAAUGUCGCUUGACAUAUAGCUCGCGUAUUAAAUUAUAUGCUGCAUGUCAUCUUAGUUUAAAUAAUUUUGUAUGUCAUCGCAUCGCAUUGCAUGUCAUUAGAAUUAAGUCAUUUAGAUUGUAUCUAAUUAUUGCAUUUCUUCAUGUCAUAUAGUUUAGGUCAUGCUGCCAUGUCAUAUUAGAUUAUUAGAAUGCAUUACAUGAUUUUCAUUAAGAAAAGCGAAAACAUAAAAUUGAGUAAUUGCUUGUUAAUUAGAAACCAUAUCUAGGGUUGUUGAUGUGGAUUUCAAUUUAACACUGCAGAUGCUUUCGUUGCUUUGAGGUAAGUCCUGCAUUAUUUAAUUGUUUUCUUGGGUGUUAAAUUGGUGGUUUGCGCACCUGCAUGAACACCUCACCUGUUAGGAAAAUAGAUUUAAAAUCAAUCCAAAUUGCUUGCCAAACGUUUUUUUUUUUCAAAAUAAAAAGAAAGGUACCGAAAGGGCGUUAGAGAAAUCUAACGUAACCAAGUCCCCGUACCCUUAGUCUCUGGUUCGUAGGAGUAAAGUAAAUCUCCCGUUACUUUACUAGGGUUUCUAAUCGACCCACCAAAAAUAGAUUAGUGGCGACUCCUAGUUAAAAAUCAAUUGCAUGUUAACAAUUCAAACAUAAGUCGCGAAUUGGUAUGGGCUUGGGAGAGCCCGAGUUAAGUCUAGACUUAACAAUCCAUUAGCCAAACCCUAGGUGGUUCACACCCGAAAAAAUUGGUUGCGACAAUACGCCAGCGGAAUGGGAUGUAUUCUGCAGGACAAGGACAAGUAAACAAUGCAUAACACAAGAUUGAAGAUUAAUGCAUGUCACUUUGCUGCAUUGAGGUAAACUAGGCCCACGCAAGGAUCUUAUGGGCCUUUCUUUAAUUUUUUGUGCAGAAUAUUAGAUCAAACUCCAUGCAUAACUAACAUUAAGAAGUUGAAACCUCACUAUCUUACCUGUUAUAGAUUGCUUCUAAAGCAAUCCUGAACGCUCCCAUACCCAGACAUUCAGCAGGAAAAGUAGCCUGCCUUUGACUUUGUUAGCUAGUCAUCAGCCAGUCUUUAGUUCCACCAAGGCUUCAAAAACUCAAGAUUGCAGCUGGCGUUACAAAUGGCAUAGCUUACCUGGUAUUCGAGGUCAUUAUUUGCAAAAACUAGGUGCGGUUGCUUUCUAGCCUCCCUUCUAGGAAGCCCCCCAGUUCUUAAUAUGUCACAGAGCACCUAAACCCAAACUUGAGUAUCACAGAAUUGUUUUUAAUAUACACAGACAGAUAGAUAGAUGAUUACACUCCAUUUUAUCACUUUUUCCAAACUAGAUGUCAACACCCACUAGACUUUUAAAAAGAUGAUGACUAAAGUUGCAGAGCAGUUACCGAACAACCAAACGAAGCGUUGUGUCUUUUGAUAAUCAGUUCAAAGAUUUAGAACUAGUGUGAUGAAAAGCCUAGUAUGGACUCGACAGCCGAAUUAGAUAAUCUAAGAAAGGACAAGAUCCUUUAGAGUGGUUACAACCUAGAUAUCUCUGCUCCGGUCAACAGAGUCAGUCAACAGAAUCACUGACUACAAAUGCUAACUGAACUCUCUGUGUUUGCACAACAAUUUAAUUCUUUCCUAUCAUAUUAGAAGUGCUAUUUUGGUCAAUGUCUGGCUUAGUUGUCCAUCUCUUGUGCAUCAAACUGGCUAGCGUACUCAUCAAUUGACAGAACCUUUAUACAUAGAAAAGACAAGACCAGAAAGAGGGUCAACUGGAGGAAAAAGAGAGAGAGAGAGAGAGAGAGAGAAAAUCAAG